rnacentral:rRNA from 1 species
UACGGGGGGAGCAAGCGUUGUUCGGAUUUACUGGGCGUAAAGGGCGCGUAGGCGGCGCAACAAGUCGAUUGUGAAAUCUCCGGGCUUAACUCGGAGCGGCCAAUCGAUACUGUCGUGCUAGAGUGCGGAAGGGGCUACUGGAAUUCUCGGUGUAGCGGUGAAAUGCGUAGAUAUCGAGAGGAACACCUGCGGCGAAGGCGGGUAGCUGGGCCGACACUGACGCUGAGGCGCGAAAGCUAGGGGAGCAAACAGG